rnacentral:rRNA from 1 species
AAUCAACGCUGGCGGCGUGCCUAACACAUGCAAGUCGAACGCGAAAGUCCCGCAAGGGAUUAGUAGAGUGGCAAACGGGUGAGUAACACGUGGGUGACCUGCCUUCGAGUGGGGGAUAACGUCCCGAAAGGGACGCUAAUACCGCAUGACAUCCUGCCUUUGAAGAGGUGGAGCUUAAAGCCGGGGAUCGCAAGACCUGGCGCUUGAAGAGGGGCCCGCGCCUGAUUAGCUAGUUGGUGAGGUAACGGCUCACCAAGGCAUCGAUCAGUAUCCGGCCUGAGAGGGCGGACGGACACACUGGGACUGAGACACGGCCCAGACUCCUACGGGAGGCAGCAGUGGGGAAUAUUGCACAAUGGGCGGAAGCCUGAUGCAGCGACGCCGCGUGAGGGAUGACGGCC